rnacentral:rRNA from 1 species
AGAGUUUGAUCAUGGCUCAGGACGAACGCUGGCGGCACGCUUAACACAUGCAAGUCGAACGAGAGAAGAGGAGCUUGCUUUUCUGAUCUAGUGGCGGACGGGUGAGUAACACAUGAGCAAUCUGCCUUUCAGAGGGGGAUACCGAUUGGAAACGAUCGUUAAUACCGCAUAACAUAAUUGAACCGCAUGAUUUGAUUAUCAAAGAUUUAUCGCUGAAAGAUGAGCUCGCGUCUGAUUAGCUAGUUGGUAAGGUAACGGCUUACCAAGGCGACGAUCAGUAGCUGGACUGAGAGGUUGAUCGGCCACAUUGGGACUGAGACACGGCCCAGACUCCUACGGGAGGCAGCAGUGGGGAAUAUUGCACAAUGGAGGAAACUCUGAUGCAGCGAUGCCGCGUGAGGGAAGAAGGUUUUAGGAUUGUAAACCUCUGUCUUCAGGGACGAAAAAAGACGGUACCUGAGGAGGAAGCUCCGGCUAACUACGUGCCAGCAGCCGCGGUAAUACGUAGGGAGCGAGCGUUGUCCGGAAUUACUGGGUGUAAAGGGAGCGUAGGCGGGAUCGCAAGUCAGAUGUGAAAACUAUGGGCUUAACCCAUAAACUGCAUUUGAAACUGUGGUUCUUGAGUGAAGUAGAGGUAAGCGGAAUUCCUAGUGUAGCGGUGAAAUGCGUAGAUAUUAGGAGGAACAUCAGUGGCGAAGGCGGCUUACUGGGCUUUAACUGACGCUGAGGCUCGAAAGCGUGGGGAGCAAACAGGAUUAGAUACCCUGGUAGUCCACGCCGUAAACGAUGAUUACUAGGUGUGGGGGGACUGACCCCUUCCGUGCCGCAGCAAACGCAAUAAGUAAUCCACCUGGGGGGUACGACCGCAAGGUUGAAACUCAAAGGAAUUGACGGGGGCCCGCACAAGCAGUGGAGUAUGUGGAUUAAUUCGAAGCAACGCGAAGAACCUUACCAGGUCUUGACAUCGUAUGCAUAGCUCAGAGAUGAGUGAAAUCUCUUCGGAGACAUAUAGACAGGUGGUGCAUGGUUGUCGUCAGCUCGUGUCGUGAGAUGUUGGGUUAAGUCCCGCAACGAGCGCAACCCUUACUGUUAGUUGCUACGCAAGAGCACUCUAGCAGGACUGCCGUUGACAAAACGGAGGAAGGUGGGGAUGACGUCAAAUCAUCAUGCCCCUUAUGACCUGGGCCUCACACGUACUACAAUGGCUGUCAACAGAGGGAAGCAAAGCCGCGAGGUGGAGCGAACCCCUAAAAGCAGUCUUAGUUCGGAUUGUAGGCUGCAACCCGCCUGCAUGAAGUCGGAAUUGCUAGUAAUCGCAGAUCAGCAUGCUGCGGUGAAUACGUUCCCGGGCCUUGUACACACCGCCCGUCACGCCAUGGGAGUCGGUAACACCCGAAGCCUGUAGUCUAACCGCAAGGAGGACGCAGUCGAAGGUGGGAUUGAUGACUGGGGUGAAGUCGUAACAAGGUA